GAUGAACGCUGGCGGCGUGCCUAAUACAUGCAAGUCGAGCGAACAGACGAGGAGCUUGCUCCUCUGACGUUAGCGGCGGACGGGUGAGUAACACGUGGAUAACCUACCUAUAAGACUGGGAUAACUUCGGGAAGCCGGAGCUAAUACCGGAUAAUAUAUUGAACCGCAUGGUUCAAUAGUGAAAGACGGUUUUGCUGUCACUUAUAGAUGGAUCCGCGCCGCAUUAGCUAGUUGGUAAGGUAACGGCUUACCAAGGCAACGAUGCGUAGCCGACCUGAGAGGGUGAUCGGCCACACUGGAACUGGGACACGGUCCAGACUCCUACGGGAGGCAGCAGUAGGGAAUCUUCCGCAAUGGGCGAAAGCCUGACGGAGCAACGCCGCGUGAGUGAUGAAGGUCUUCGGAUCGUAAAACUCUGUUAUUAGGGAAGAACAAAUGUGUAAGUAACUAUGCACGUCUUGACGGUACCUAAUCAGAAAGCCACGGCUAACUACGUG
rnacentral:rRNA from 1 species